CUAAUACCGGAUAAGAAAGACGGAUCGCAUGAUCAGCUUUUAAAAAGGACGGCGUAAGCUGUCGCUAUGGGAUGGCCCCCGCCGGUGCAUUAGCUAGUUGGUAAGGUAAAAGGACUUACCAAGGCGAUGAUGCAUAGCCGAGUUGAGAGACUGAUCGGCCACAUUGGGACUGAGACACGGCCCAAACUCCUACGGGAGGCAGCAGGC
rnacentral:rRNA from 1 species